GUCUCAGUGGAGGGGAGAUCAAAGCAGGAAAGGGAGCAAAGUUCUCUGGGCAGGGAGGUCUGGGAAAGACCCUGACUGACCAGCAAAUCUCAGAGGAGAAGGUGGCAGGGAACUGUGCAGCCUGGAAAUAACCUGGUCAAGAGGGAAAGGGACGAGGGUCUCCACCCAAGAGAGAUGAUGACUGAGGAGCUGAGAGCCUAAGGAAAUAGUCACCGCAUCAUUCCUCAGAGACCCUUCAGCAAGGAUAACUCUGAAACCAGAAGUUUUUGAUGACCACGAAGGCAUACUCGGAGAACAAGACAUUAUGGGGUUCUUCAUCUAAAUUCAGCUUCAUGAUUUUAUACUCUGGCUGAUGGUGUAAGAGGCAGGCAGAGCCCAGAGAGACUUUUCAAAUUUCCGCUGGAGUUUCCAGGACUAUGUGUUAGAAAAAUCAACUGUGGGCCUGUGGACCAAACAAAUCUAGUGUGGAAUCACAGAGAGAGAAUAAAUUUGGACCCUCCCAAUAUCAUUUGUAUAAGUUUCUUUUCUAUCUGUAACUGCAA